GCCAGUGUGGCAUAGUGGUUCGAGUGCUGGAAUAUAACUCUGGAGACCAGGGUUCAAACCCCUGCUCAGCCA